rnacentral:rRNA from 1 species
UACGUAUGUCUCAAGCGUUACCCGGAAUCACUGGGUGUAAAGGGUUCGUAGGCGGAAAUUUAAGUCAGGUAUGAAAGACCGGAGCUCAACUCCGAGUUUGUGCUUGAAACUGGAUUUCUAGAAUUAGGGAGAGGUAAGCGGAAUUCUAAGUGUAGGGGUGCAAUCCGUAGAUACUUAGAGGAACACCAAAAGCGAAGGCAGCUUACUGGAACUAUAUUGACGCUGAUGAACGAAAGCGUGGGUAGCGAAAAGG